GACGAACGCUGGCGGCGUGCCUAAUACAUGCAAGUAGAACGCUGAAGAGAGGAGCUUGCUCUUCUUGGAUGAGUUGCGAACGGGUGAGUAACGCGUAGGUAACCUGCCUUGUAGCGGGGGAUAACUAUUGGAAACGAUAGCUAAUACCGCAUAACAAUGGAUGACACAUGUCAUUUAUUUGAAAGGGGCAAUUGCUCCACUACAAGAUGGACCUGCGUUGUAUUAGCUAGUAGGUGAGGUAAGGGCUCACCUAGGCGACGAUACAUAGCCGACCUGGGAGGGUGGUCGGCCACCCUGGGACUGGGACACGGCCCAGACUCCUACGGGAGGCAGCAGUAGGGGAUCUUCGGCAAUGGGGGCAACCCUGACCGAGCAACGCCGCGUGAGUGAAGAAGGUUUUCGGAUCGUAAAGCUCUGUUGUAAGUCAAGAACGGGUGUGAGAGUGGAAAGUUCACACUGUGACGGUAGCUUACCAGAAAGGGACGGCUAACUACGUG
rnacentral:rRNA from 1 species